GCCAUCGUGGCGCAAUGGUAGCGCAUCACCUUCCUACGUUGGUGUGAGGUGGGGGUUGCGGGUUCGAUCCCCGUCGUUGGUA